UACAGAGGUCUCAAGCGUUGUUCGGAUUCAUUGGGCGUAAAGGGUGCGUAGGUGGCGCCAUAAGUCAGGUGUGAAAUCUCCGGGCUUAACUCGGAGCCUGCAGGCGAAACUGUGGUGCUGGAGUGUGGGAGAGGUGCGUGGAAUUCCCGGUGUAGCGGUGAAAUGCGUAGAUAUCGGGAGUAACACCUGUGGCGAAAGCGGCGCACUGGACCAUAACUGACGCUGAGGCGCGAAAGCUAGGGGAGCAAACAGG
rnacentral:rRNA from 1 species